UGGUGGGGUGAUUUGUCUGGUUAAUUCCGUUAACGAACGAGACCUCGACCUGCUAAAUAGUUCGGCGAACCCUCGGGUUCGUGCGCGACUUCUUAGAGGGACUAUCGGUUUGCAGCCGGUGGAAGUUCGAGGCAAUAACA
rnacentral:rRNA from 1 species